rnacentral:tRNA from 1 species
UCUUUCGUGGUGUAGUGGUUAGCACACUCCACGCGUAUAUGAGAGGUCCGUGGUUCGAGUCCCGGCGAGGGUA